UACGUAUGUCGCAAGCGUUGUCCGGAUUUACUGGGUGUAAAGGGCGUGCAGCCGGAGAGACAAGUCAGAUGUGAAAUCCGCAGGCUCAACCUGCGAACUGCAUUUGAAACUGUUUCCCUUGAGUAUCGGAGAGGUCAUCGGAAUUCCUAGUGUAGCGGUGAAAUGCGUAGAUAUUAGGAAGAACACCAGUGGCGAAGGCGGAUGACUGGACGACAACUGACGGUGAGGCGCGAAAGCGUGGGGAGCAAACAGG
rnacentral:rRNA from 1 species